AUGCCUGCAUCCUCUUCCCCUAGGCUAGACCCAUCCUCCUCUCCAAAGCUAACUGCUGUCUCAUUUCCACGAUUACGCAGUCUUACGAGUGCCUCUGGAGGCCAUCCAGCCCCGCACGCCUCACUCUCCAAACAGAAACUAGCUUUCAGGAGCUCAGUGACGCAGGUGCCGGACUCGCAUCAAAUGCCAGUGCCACAGCAAGAGCUCCCAUGCUGUGACUGCACAGAGCAGGCGCCCGCGGGGAAGACUUGAAGGAGGAAGGCACGUUGAAAUUCAUCAGGGCUGACCUGGAAGAGCCAGCGAUGGGGGAUGUGACUGUAAUUCCUGUGUUCCAAAUUGUUUGUUUUCAUUUGAGUUAUUUAUUGAAUAGGCAAUAUAUGCACACAGAGGAAAACCCAAAAAGUGUGAAAGUAAAUGUCUGCCUCCCUUCUUGGUCCCCAGCCGAUGGGCUGUCCUUGCUCGUGGCAACCACUGGUAUCUUUGCAAAGAUGAGCUAGACUUAUACGAGUAAAUAUGAUUCAUUUACUUUUUAAUGUUGUGGCAGCAUACUUCAAACACUGUUCUCCACCUUUUUUUAAAUUUAACGUUCGUUUACUCAUUUAACAUUUAGCACUCAGUACAGUUUGGCCGGUGUGCCACAUUGAUGAACUGAACACAAAAAGGCCUGCUCAGUGCUCUCAAUGGAGGGAGACACACCAGCAACAUAAACAAUAGGUUACAUAAUAUGUUGGAAAAUAGUAAGUGCCUGGGAGAAAUAGAGCAGAAUAAGGGGUUGGGAGGAUGCUGCUAUUGUCAACAAGGUGCUUAGGGGAGGCCUCAUCUCGAGGUGACAGCUGAGCAAACUUGAAGAAGGUGAGGGAGGGGAGCGAUGUGGGCAUCUGGGGGGAAAGUAUUGCAGGCCUAGGGAACAGCCAGUGCGAACACCCCAGUGUCUGGGGUGUAGGAUGGACAGCAAGGAGGCCAGUGGAGCAUGUGUGGGAUGGGGGUGGGGCUAAGUAGGAGAUGAGAUGAGAGAGGAAAUGGAGCGGGAACAAAUAACGUGGGGUCUCUUGGGCUAUUGUAAAGACUUCAUUAAUCUGAGAGAGAUGAAGAGGCACUGGAGGGUUUGGAGCCGAGGACUGACAUGAUCUGAUCUCAGUUUCAACAGAAGGAUCUCUGGAGCUGCUGCACUGGGAACAGGAGAGGGCAAGGGAGCAAGCAGGGAGGCCAGUUAAGGGGAGAGAAGAUGAUGCUCGGACCAGGGUGAUACCACUGGAAGAGGGAGGGAGAGAGAGGAUACUGUACAUAUUUUUGGGGUAGAACCUACAGGAUUUACUGAAAGGUCAGAUAUGGGACGUGAGAGAAAGUGGUCAAGGGAUCUUGAAGAUCCCUCCAUACCAAUAUAUAAAGAAAAACACGAAAUAUUUAGAUAACCAGAAAAAUAAUAUUUAAUAUAUUAUGAAAAUAAAUACUUAAACAUUUCGCA
rnacentral:lncRNA from 1 species